rnacentral:misc_RNA from 1 species
GUAUAAUAUAUUGUCAUACAUUUCGUAACAUGCCGACCAAUAUGCAAAAGAGUGUAUCAACCGUUAUAUCAUAGGCACAGAGCGUGUCUACAUGCAGUGCACAGGUGGAACUGAAGAAACAAACGGCCAGAGGUGUGCACAUUUGCCCCGAGUGGCCAGCACAACAGCAUCCAGCCGGAAGUCUCGUUCGGUAAUGAUCCUUCCGCAGGUUCACCUACGGAAA